GACGAACGCUGGCGGCGUGCUUAACACAUGCAAGUCGAACGGUAAGGCCCUUCGGGGUACACGAGUGGCGAACGGGUGAGUAACACGUGGGUGAUCUGCCCUGCACUUCGGGAUAAGCCUGGGAAACUGGGUCUAAUACCGGAUAGGACCACUGCCUGCAUGGGUGGUGGUGGAAAGCUUUUGCGGUGUGGGAUGGGCCCGCGGCCUAUCAGCUUGUUGGUGGGGUGAUGGCCUACCAAGGCGGCGACGGGUAGCCGGCCUGAGAGGGUGACCGGCCACACUGGGACUGAGAUAAGGCACAGAGUCCUACGGGAGGCAGCAGGGGGGAAUAUUGCACAAUGGGCGCAAGCCUGAUGCAGCGACGCCGCGUGAGGGAUGACGGCCUUCGGGUUGUAAACCUCUUUCAGCACCGACGAAGCGCAAGUGACGGUAGGUGCAGAAGAAGGACCGGCCAACUACGUGCCAGCCGCCGCAGUAA
rnacentral:rRNA from 1 species